AGAGUUUGAUCCUGGCUCAGAACGAACGCUGGCGGCGUGGAUAAGACAUGCAAGUCGAGCGCUGCUUAUUGUGUAGCAAUACAUGGUAAGCGGAGCGGCGCAAGGGUGCGUAACACGUGGGUAAUUUACCAUAAAGUUGGGGAUAACUCGCUGAAAGGCGAGCUAAUACCGAAUGUGAUAAUUGAACGGCAUCGUUUGAUUAUUGAAGUUGGGGAUCGUAAGACCUGACGCUUUUUGAUAAGCCCGCGGCCUAUCAGCUAGUUGGUGAGGUAACGGCUCACCAAGGCUAAGACGGGUAGCUGGUCUGAGAGGACGACCAGCCACACUGGAACUGAGAUACGGUCCAGACACCUACGGGUGGCAGCAGUCGAGAAUUUUUCACAAUGGGGGAAACCCUGAUGGAGCGACGCCGCGUGGGGGAUGAAUGGCUUCGGCCCGUAAACCCCUGUCAUCUGGGAACAAUGUGCAUUGUUUAAGAGAUGAUGCAUUGAUAGUACCGGAAGAGGAAGGGACGGCUAACUCUGUGCCAGCAGCCGCGGUA
rnacentral:rRNA from 1 species